AUUAUAGUAGCUUAAUGUGUUUUCUUAAUAUGAUAACAAAAAAAAAAUAUGAUAACAAAAUACUAAAAAGUCUAUCUUUGUGAAAAGGAAGGAGUAUGUGUUAAGAUUGCGUAUAUAAACAAAUCUCCAUUUUUCAACAUUGAGUUGUUGGUAUGAGAAUACAGAAAAAGUAGUAGCCCACAAACAGCAACUCGGAUAGAUCAAAACUUAGAGAAGACGAGAAGUCAACAACAUACAUAUUUGAAUAUGAUGAGAUACCAAAAUCUAAUGGUAGGAGAUGGCCUAUCCGAUCAUCAUCGCUACCCAUUUGCUUGCAAUGAACUGAUCUCCAUGAUAGAUCUUGGUUACUCUCGUUUACCCAAAGAUGUCAAAGCCUUCAUCUUCCAAGAUUGUCUCUCCGCUUUUCGUCUUCUUCCCGAGAUGAACACAACAGCUGCUGUUUCAGCCGCUAACCUUCUUGUGAAGAGCGUGGAAUCAGCAUUUCCAAAACAGAAGAAGAACUUAGCCAUUGUACAAUUUAAGCAAGCAAAAGUAGCACUUAAGAGACGAACUAAGAGCCAUGAGGAAAGUAGAGAUACACCUUCACUACCACAAGAUGUCCUUGUUCACAUUUUCAGUCUCCUUGAUGUAUCAUCCUUAAUUUCCUCAUCUCAAGUCUCUCGCUCAUGGAACCUAGCAACGCAUGAAGGCUCUCUGUGGCGAUCACUUUUUAAUCUUCACUUCAGUCACGACGUCUUGACUCAUAUUCAUCCCGGUUUUGACUGGAGAGAAGCCUUUAAGAACGAAUGCAUUGUGUAUAAUUUAUCAAAGAUGUUAAGAUCUGGUCGCGGAUAUUGCAGUUACUGUGACACCCUUGUUUGGCAUGACAACUUUAGAUGUCCGAAGAAACAAUGUCAGUUUGAAUCAGGCAAGGAGCAACUGGACCCCAUUUUAACUCACCAGGUUGUUAACUAUUUACUGGGGAUAACUAGCUCGUCUGAUGAAAGUAAUUUGGACGAAAGUGAUUCAGUGGACAGUGGUUCGACUGAGAGUGACUCGGUCGAAAGUGAUUCGGACGAUGGGGACGGUCCUGGACUAUGGGCUAAUCCUAAGAAACACACAGAAAGGAUUCCUACUCCAUAGUUUCACAGCUUAACCCAAUAUGACAUGGUUAGGGGCUGGCUGAGCAAAAAAACCUUUAAUAAAUGAGAGGAUUCCUUUAUGUGUGUGAACUUUCUUACUCGUAUGCACAUUCAGAGUUAUCAACUUAGUACAGAACAGCAAACUUCUCUUGCUUGUGCUUGUUGCGCUCAUGGGCCUAUCUGUUUAUAUGAAUAUUUUGGGUGAAUUAUGUAUAAUUUCUACAAAAUUAACUCUAUUGAUACUCUUUCCAUUUAAACUUAUAUAUCUUUUUUAACUCUUUA